rnacentral:misc_RNA from 1 species
AAAAGGUAGACACGUCAUCAUCUCCAUCAGGAUCUGUAACAGUCAAUGCAUGCCGCAAGAGUAGAAGGGCCAUUAAAAUCAGAGCAGCCGAACGACAAAAUGCAGCUCCACUAGCAUUUGAAGCAGCGUACUCAUCAUACUCGGCUUCCAGAAAAUGACGUUCUGCUUCUGCAAUUGCCAAAAGGCGAGGAUCACGUAGAUCCAGAGGAGCUCCAGAGAUGGUCCAGCCUCCACCAAUAUCAAUAGCAGUGUCUUCAGGGCGAGGUGGACGAGGUGGAGCAGUAUAACCAGGUUGAUAAGGCUGGUGACAUAUCUCA